rnacentral:rRNA from 1 species
UACGGAGGGGGCGAGCGUUAUUCGGAAUUAUUGGGCGUAAAGGGCGCGUAGGCGGCUUGGUAAGUCAAAGGUGAAAUCCCUCGGCUCAACUGAGGAACUGCCUUUGAAACUGCCUGGCUCGAGGCCGGGAGGGGGUAGCGGAAUUCCCAAUGUAGCGGUGAAAUGCGUAGAUAUUGGGAGGAACACCGGUGGCGAAGGCGGCUACCUGGACCGGUUCUGACGCUGAUGCGCGAAAGCGUGGGGAGCAAACAG